rnacentral:rRNA from 1 species
AUUGAACGCUGGCGGCAUGCUUUACACAUGCAAGUCGAACGGUAACAGGGUGCUUGCACCGCUGACGAGUGGCGAACGGGUGAGUAAUGCGUCGGAACGUGCCGAGUAGUGGGGGAUAACGCAGCGAAAGUUGUGCUAAUACCGCAUACGUACUGAGGUAGAAAGUGGGGGACCUUCGGGCCUCACGCUAUUCGAGCGGCCGACGUCUGAUUAGCUAGUAGGUGAGGUAAAGGCUCACCUAGGCGACGAUCAGUAGCGGGUCUGAGAGGAUGGUCCGCCAAACUGGGGAUGGGACACGGCCCAGACUACUACGGGAGGCAGCAGUGGGGAAUUUUGGACAAUGGGCGAAAGCCUGAUCCAGCCAUGCCGCGUGUCUGAAGAAGGCCUUCGGGUUGUAAAGGACUUUUGUCGGGGAGGAAAUCCCCAGCGUUAAUACCGCUGGGGGAUGACAGUACCUGAAGAAUAAGCACCGGCUAACUACGUGCCAGCAGCCGCAGUAAUAC